rnacentral:rRNA from 1 species
UUACGGUCAAAUCACGCUGAAAACACCGGUUCUCGUUCGAUCACCGAAGUUAAAAGCAUCGUAGAGCCAGGUCAGUACUUAGAUGGGGACCGCUUUGGGAACACCUGGUACUGUAAG